rnacentral:rRNA from 1 species
UACAGAGGUGGCAAGCGUUGUUCGGAAUUACUGGGCGUAAAGGGCGCGUAGGCGGUCUCGUAAGUCCUGUGUGAAAUCCCCCGGCUCAACUGGGGAACUGCACAGGAAACUGCGAGACUUGAGUUCGGGAGAGGGAAGCGGAAUUCCGGGUGUAGCGGUGAAAUGCAUAGAUAUCCGGAGGAACACCGGUGGCGAAGGCGGCUUCCUGGACCGACACUGACGCUGAGGCGCGAAAGCUAGGGGAGCAAACGGG